rnacentral:lncRNA from 1 species
UUCCAUCCUUUCACAAAGUACCAGGGAACCUUGAUCGUGUGAGGAAAUAGUGUGCAUAAACAAAUCAUUUUUUUUGUGUGAGAUUAAUUUGGUAUGGAACAAACUAAUACUUUCCUUAGAAGAGUUGAAAUAUUACCUGUCUUCACAUUAUAUUGAGUGAUGGUCUCUGUGUACUAAACACUGUGGUCAGGAGUGCCAGAAUAUGGUAUCACCACUGGGAGUUCACACUUUGUACUAAAUAAGUUCCUAAUGUGUAGAAGUACACAAUUUUCCUCCAGCACUCAGGAGAUAGAGGCAGAUAGAGCUCUGUGAGUUCAAGGCCAUCUUGGUUUACAUAACUUGUUCUGGGUCAUCCCAGGCCACAUAGUGGGAUCCUUUCUUAAGAAGAAAAAAUGAUAUAAUUCUCAGUUUAUGUUCUGCUACAUUUUCUUUAUGACCACAUCAUAAGCUGUUAACACCAUUCUCAUCUUUGGCCUUCUUUAAUUUUUCUAGUUAAGGAGGAGACAAAGCAUUACUUGUCUUAUGAAGUAAAAGGAGAAAAAGAAAAUAAUAAAUGUAACGUUAGCUGGGCUGGGGCAGAGUGCUGCAGAUCUUAGAACACUGCUUUCCUGAGACUGCCAUUUUCCCCAUGCUAAUGUGUUAGAGACUUACACUAAAGCUCUCCCAGUGGUUCUCUGCUUUGUCAUGAUUUAUUUUAGCAUCAGAAAGGCCAACUCUAGUGUUGCUUAUUCCUCUGCCUUGUCUCCUUAUGUUCUUUCUAAGCACAGACACAGCCCAGUCCCUGGCACUGACAUAACAAACAUCAAUAACAACUUCUGUAAAUGUUAAAUUAAAGGACAAAGUGAAGGGCAGUGACUCAUUAGGAUUUUUUUUUUUUUUUGAGCAAAUUAACUCCUCUUCCUGCUGAUGCAUGUUGGGAAAUGAUUGGCUGUCUCUUGAGCGAGAAAUGGUUCUGUUAGGGAUUGUGUGGCGAGGGGCUUCUUUGCUGUAGCAGGCAUUUGGAUAUGGGGUAGUGCUUUUUGUUUUAAAUAGCCCUUUUAAAGCUUUAAAAAUAUAUCUGCCAAGUUUUACCAAUUUUGAGAUGAUAUUAACCUUAAUUUAUUCAGUACUUUUAUAGAAAAGAUGAACUUUGUUUUAAAGAUUUAUUUAUUUAUUUUUAUGUAUGUGAGUACACUGAAGUCGUACAGAUGGUUUUGAGCCUUCAUGUGGUUGUUGGGAAUUGAAUUUUUAGGACCUCUGCUCACUCUAGAUGGAAUGGGCUGGAUAUUGGUAUUUUUCACCUUGACAGCUCUAAUUAAAAAUUAAUCUAGCCCUCUUCUGCUUUGUUAAUGAUCCUUUAUAUCUCUUGAAAAAAAUCAGCCAGUGUUUGCAUUGCUACUUGAAACUUUCUUUUCUUUCUGUUCCCCUGCCCCACUUCCUUUUUUCCUUUAUUACUAGCCUUGUUUGUUUCAGUACCCGAGUAAAUACAGUGUACUCACACAUCUCAUAUUACUCUUAUCACAGACCUUGGUCUUAAUACUAACCUGUGUAAAAUUACCUACUGAGUUUGUAUUCUUUCAUGCUUGCAUCAUUUUCCAACAUUACCUUUAAUUAAAUUGCCCUUCACAUCUCUUGAUAAUCCAUCAGUUUAUCAGUGCUUAUUAUCUCUCUACUUGCUAGACACUAUGUUAGCUACUUGAACACUUAUUAACAAUGAAAGCCACAGUGACUUUGAAUGUUAGUUUAAAAUUAAUCUUUACCUUUUGUGAGAAGCAAAGCCCAGAUUUCCAUCUUAAAUUCAGUGCUACUUUUUCUGUGUCCAUGGCUUUCUAUGCGUGUUACAGUAGUCCUCAGCUUUUUUGUGGUUCCAGUUACCAACAACCAACUACAGUUUAAAAAAUAAAUAGAAAGUUAUAGAAAUUUACAAUCCAAAUGUUUUCAAUUUUAUGCCUUUCUGAGUGACACAAUACCAUCUCUCACCAGGAUGUGAAUUUUGUCCAGUAUGUUUGUGCUGCACAAAUUACUUGCCCAUUUAGUAGCCAUCUUGUGGUUUUGUUGUGAUCAUAGUGCUCAUAUAGACUAAUGUUGCAUUAUUGUGCAGUGUCAUUCACAUGAUUCAUUGCCCCAUACAGACAUGGUACAAUCUCUUAUCAUUCAUGAGGAGGGAAGUAUAAAUACAAAAACAUUUGGGAAUGUAGAAAGAGCAUAUUCAUACAACUUAAUAUAUUGUUAUAUUACCCAUUAAUCUGUUUUUAACCAAGAAGUGGCUGUGCCUAAUUUAUAAGUUAAUCUUUAUCACAGGUAGGUGGGUAAGUUUAGG